AGAUGCGCUUUUACCAUCACCCUGUAAUUGUCACAGCGAUAUCUAUAAAAAUACUAGAACCAUAUGGCCACAACACUAUUAGUCUGUAUACAUUAUGUGAGCAUGAGUGUGUUCAUAAAACCAAAGCGGAUAAUCUCGAUUACGUGCAUAUAAUAUAGCGUGAUACAUAUUUAUACUACAAAAGGUUUAUUUUAUAUGUCCACAAGAAGUUUUGGCUACAAGUUUAAACUCGCAAAGACACACAACACAGGAGGACUUUUAUGUAGCUAUCCGAUAUAAAUUUCAAAUUCCUGAUUGUCAAGACGACGUUUUCUUAAACAAACGGUCCUUUGGGAUGACUCUGGCGGGACAGCGGCUAAAGGGGCGGGCAUAUUAAACAAUUUUGAUGUUGGACGGACAUUCGCAGCAGGAUUUAUUAAAGAACUCAAACAAGAAUCAACUGUGGAUCGUUUUCUAUUAUAUUUUUUUUUUCAUUUAUAAUGGGAAAUAUACAUACUUAAAAUAUAUCUGAACAUUAUUAUAAUAACUUCUGAAACUACGACUGCUUUACGUAAGUUCUUCACUGAGCCAUAAAUUAAAGAUGAAAAGGCCUUAAAAUUCAUUGUUUUAUUCGAGUGCUAUAAAAUAAUUACAUUUUCAUACCAUUGCUCAUUCCGCCCUCAUCUUUUGUGUUCAAGUGGAUUUGAAUUAUUCGCUACUUAACAUGCUCCAUACAAUGUUAAUAAUAGCUUAGUAUUUAAAGAUUUGACGAUACUCAAAAAGUAUGAUAUAUUAAAUUUACUUUAAUAAAUAUUCUCAUAUCAUUCUCACUUUUAUAUAAUUAGGAGCGAAUAUUUUAUGAAUUUUAUACGAUAAACAUUAAUAUGAAUCUCGGUUACAACAUUGUUAGCCUAAACCAAAAAUUUAUUUUAUUAAUAGCUUAUGAAAAACGAAUUUGUAAAUCCCGUCAUAACGCCUGGGGUUACAAAAAGUACAUUUGACUUGAAAUAAAUUGGACAUGUAAAUGUUAAGGUAGUUAUAUGAAUCUCGUUCGUUCCGUUCCUUCUAACAACGGCUCAUUAUGAACAAUUUAAUGUUAGGGUAUGAGAUGUUAAUUAAAUGUCAAGUUGAUUAAAUGACUUAGAAUGGUAUUACUAUUUGGGAGCACUAGAGCUAUGAAUAGUAAAAGCAUUUAUGAUGUGCUUUAAAAUUGUACAAUAGUUUUUAGUCCCCGACUGUGAAAUGUAAUGUUGGUAUUGCUGAAGCCUCUGGAGUGCUGUGAGCUGAGAAUAAGAGGAUUUAGAUGGAAUUUUGUAAAACUCUCUCCAUCGGAAUGGAUUGUAAUUAAGUUAACAUAAGUUGUUGCAGCCCCGCAGAUUUAAUGAAAACUCCCGAACAGUCAUGAUUUGAACUUUCAUAUUUUGAGGCUUCUUAUUUCAACAGGAUAUUCGAACAAUAAGUAAUACUUAAAUGUGUCCAGUCUUAAUUACUGUGUAUAUUACGUAAUAAAGGGAUUGGUCUUAAUUUAAACCUUAACAACUAUUUCUGGAGCUUUUAA